UGAACAAAGUCUGCUGGCUCAGCCAUUGCCAGAAACCGGCCGUCGGAGGUGAACUUGAGAGCCCUAAUGGCCCCCAUAUUUCCCUUCAACACAGUCAGGGACUGCGAUAAGUUCCUUAUGUCCCACAGCCUGCAAGUAGUGUCUUGGUUCCCAGAGGCUAAAAUUCUUCCAUCCGGGUGCCAGGCUGAAGCAAAUGAGUAGUCCAAGUGUCCUUUAAGGUUCCCAGUGACUUUACCAGACUGAGCAUCAGCUAUCAAGCACUCUGUGCUGUCCCCAAGUACUGC
rnacentral:lncRNA from 1 species